GAUCUCCAUGGCGAUGUUAUGAGAGUACUGUGCCUUGAUUAUUCUACUCUGAAAUUGACUUGAGCUAGAACUACUUGCUUUCAGACAAGUUCCCAUAUUUGCUAUCCAUGCCAUGAGGAAGUAUAGCCAAGUUAGACCAUCACAGAAUGAACUGUGAAAUGGACCACUAUGAGGAUGAUGAUCAACGUAGAGUAAUAGCAAGAUCAACUACAAUGUGAGAGACCAUAAAUGCUGAGCAAAUAUCCACAAGUGGAAAGAUCCUUGAAAUGAGAUAGAUGAAAUGUAGGCAACAACAGAUCCAUGACUAUACCAUGCCUAUUCUGUCACAUCACAUUUACUAGCAUCACAUUUACUCUAGGUCACUGAGAGAAAAAAAGAUAUAUAGUCAAUGUCAGUGUUGUUUUCAUAAGCAGAAUGAAAGAAAGCAGAAUCCAGGGAGCAUAUUUAUGUAGAUAAGAAAAAGAGUUAAAGAAGAAGAUAUAUGAAAGUAUAACUCUAGGAAUUAAAGUGGCUACAAAUGA